rnacentral:misc_RNA from 1 species
GAUGAAGAACGCAGCGAAAUGCGAUAAGUAAUGUGAAUUGCAGAAUUCAGUGAAUCAUCGAAUCUUUGAACGCACCUUGCACCCUUUGGCAUUCCGAAGGGUAUGCUCGUUUGAGUGUCAUUGUACUCUCACACUUCCAAUCUUUGGAUUGGGAGCGGUGGACUUGGGUGUUGCUGCUUACUGUGGCUCACCUCAAAUCGAUUCGUGCACCUCUUGGUUGGACAUAGUACGGCGUGAUAAGUGUCUUCGCCGGCACCUCAGUAGAGGGUGGCUGAUCAGGAGCUCUGUGCUUAAAACCGUCCUCGGACAACAACUGACAACUUGACCUCAAAUCGAGUAGGACUACCCGCUGAACUUAAGCAUAUCAAUAAGCGGAGGA